CUAGAUUAGCAGGCUCCUACCCUACGACCUUUUAGUUAACAGCUAAACGCUCCAUCAUACGAGCUUUAAUCUA
rnacentral:tRNA from 1 species